UACGGAGGGUGCAAGCGUUGUCCGGAUUUAUUGGGUUUAAAGGGAGCGUAGGCGGUCUUUUAAGUCAGCGGUGAAGUUCUCCAGCUUAACUGGAGAACUGCCAUUGAUACUGAAAGACUUGAGUACAGACGAGGUAGGCGGAAUUGACAGUGUAGCGGUGAAAUGCAUAGAUAUUGUCAAGAACACCGAUUGCGAAGGCAGCUUACUAGACUGUAACUGACGCUGAGGCUCGAAAGUGCGGGGAUCAAACAGG
rnacentral:rRNA from 1 species